rnacentral:misc_RNA from 1 species
GCACUGUGCCAUUCGUACCUGAUCCGAGGUCACCUUGAUAAAUUGGGGGGUUUCGAGGCGUGGCCGUGCCGCUCUCCGGUGCGAGGUGUGCUACUACGCAGGGGAGGCUGCGGCGCGACCGCCACUGAAUUUAGGGGGCGGGUGCCGCCCAAAAAGCACACCGAACCCCAACUUCUCAACCCCAGAUCUCUUGGCUCUGGCCUCGAUGAAAAACGCACCGAAAUGCGAUAAGUAAUGUGAAUUGCAAAAUUCAGUGAAUCAUCAAAUCUUUGAACGCACAUUGCGCCCGCCGGCACUCCGGCGGGCAUGCCUGCCAGAGCGUCAUUUCCACCCUCGGCCCCACCCUUCGGGGAGAGCGCGCCGGGUUUGGGAUAGGAGACCGCGUCUGCGCCCCCCCCCCACUAAAAUUGGAGGUCGCAGCUUGCGGCCCCCGCGGGGUAGCACGGCGCGCCUCAGAGAGCAGCGUGACCGCGCCGAGGCACCCGUCGUUUUAUGGUCGAGGACGGGAUAGGAUGAAAGACCCGCUGCAGUUGAGCCUAUCCAUAGCUGC